rnacentral:rRNA from 1 species
AUUGAACGCUGGCGGCAUGCCUUACACAUGCAAGUCGAACGGUAACAGGUCUUUGGAUGCUGACGAGUGGCGAACGGGUGAGUAAUACAUCGGAACGUGCCUAGUAGUGGGGGAUAACUACUCGAAAGAGUGGCUAAUACCGCAUGAGAUCUACGGAUGAAAGCAGGGGAUCGCAAGACCUUGUGCUACUAGAGCGGCCGAUGGCAGAUUAGGUAGUUGGUGGGAUAAAAGCUUACCAAGCCGACGAUCUGUAGCUGGUCUGAGAGGACGAUCAGCCACACUGGGACUGAGAAACGGCCCAGACUCCUACGGGAGGCAGCAGUGGGGAAUUUUGGACAAUGGGCGCAAGCCUGAUCCAGCAAUGCCGCGUGCAGGAUGAAGGCCUUCGGGUUGUAAACUGCUUUUGUACGGAACGAGAAGCCCCGGGUUAAUACCCUGGGGUCAUGACGGUACCGUAAGAAUAAGCACCGGCUAACUACGUGCCAGCCGCCGCCGUAA